rnacentral:rRNA from 1 species
GACAGAGGGUGCAAACGUUGUUCGGAAUUACUGGGCGUAAAGCGCGUGUAGGCUGUUCUGCAAGUCGGGUGUGAAAGCCCCGGGCUCAACCUGGGAAGUGCACUCGAAGCUGCAGAACUCGAGUCCUGGAGAGGAAGGCGGAAUUCUCGGUGUAGAGGUGAAAUUCGUAGAUAUCGAGAGGAACACCGGUGGCGAAGGCGGCCUUCUGGACAGUGACUGACGCUGAGACGCGAAAGCGUGGGGAGCAAACAGG